rnacentral:rRNA from 1 species
GGAGUUGGAUGAGCGACCGCGACGACAGGGAUGUGACAUNACNACGUUAUGCAUACCUUACUCAUAUCAGAGGNGGCAUNGCCCGGCGCAAAGGCGUGAUUACUNCCCCAUAAAACAGGGGUUCCCGCAUGGGAAUAUUUGUUAAAGAUUCAUCGCUGAUAGAUAGGCAUGCGUUCCAUUAGGCAGUUGGCGGGGUAACGGCCCACCAAACCGACGAUGGAUAGGGGUUCUGAGAGGAAGGUCCCCCACAUUGGUACUGAGACACGGACCACACUCCUACGGGAGGCAGCAGUGAGGAAUAUUGGUCAAUGGCCGAGAGGCUGAACCAGCCCAGUCGCGUGAAGGAAGAAGGAUCUAUGGUUUGUAAACUUCUUUUAUAGGGGAAUAAAGUGGAGGACGUGUCCUUUUUUGUAUGUACCCUAUGAAUAAGCAUCGGCUAACUCCGUGCCAGCAGCCGCGGUAAUACGGAGGAUGCGAGCGUUAUCCGGAUUUAUUGGGUUUAAAGGGUGCGUAGGUGGUGAUUUAAGUCAGCGAGUGAAAGUUUGUGGCUCAACCAUAAAAUUGCCGUUGAAACUGGGUUACUUGAGUGUGUUUGAGGUAGGCGGAAUGCGUGGUGUAGCGGUGAAAUGCAUAGAUAUCACGCAGAACUCCGAUUGCGAAGGCAGCUUACUAAACCAUAACUGACACUGAAGCACGAAAGCGUGGGGAUCAAACAGGAUUAGAUACCCUGGUAGUCCACGCAGUAAACGAUGAUUACUAGGAGUUUGCGAUACAAUGUAAGCUCUACAGCGAAAGCGUUAAGUAAUCCACCUGGGGAGUACGCCGGCAACGGUGAAACUCAAAGGAAUUGACGGGGGCCCGCACAAGCGGAGGAACAUGUGGUUUAAUUCGAUGAUACGCGAGGAACCUUACCCGGGUUUGAACGUAGUCUGACCGGAGUGGAAACACUCUUUCUAGCAAUAGCAGAUUACGAGGUGCUGCAUGGUUGUCGUCAGCUCGUGCCGUGAGGUGUCGGCUUAAGUGCCAUAACGAGCGCAACCCUUAUCACUAGUUACUAACAGGUGAAGCUGAGGACUCUGGUGAGACUGCCAGCGUAAGCUGUGAGGAAGGUGGGGAUGACGUCAAAUCAGCACGGCCCUUACAUCCGGGGCGACACACGUGUUACAAUGGCAUGGACAAAGGGCAGCUACCUGGUGACAGGAUGCUAAUCUCCAAACCAUGUCUCAGUUCGGAUCGGAGUCUGCAACUCGACUCCGUGAAGCUGGAUUCGCUAGUAAUCGCGCAUCACGCCAUGGCGCGGUGAAUACGUUCCCGGGCCUUGUACAUCACCGCCCGUCAAGCCAUGGGAGCCGGGGGUACCUGAAGUCCGAACCGCAAGGAUCGGCCUAGGAAACCUGU